rnacentral:rRNA from 1 species
UAAGGAAUAUUGGACAAUGGAGGCAACUCUGAUCCAGCCAUGCCGCGUGAAGGAAUAAGGCCCUAUGGGUUGUAAACUUCUUUUAGACGGGACAAAACCCCUUUACGUGUAAAGGGUUGAUGGUACUGUCAGAAUAAGCAUCGGCUAACUUCGUGCCAGCAGCCGCGGUAAUACGAAGGAUGCAAGCGUUAUCCGGAAUUAUUGGGUUUAAAGGGUGCGUAGGCGGACUAAUAAGCCAGUGGUGAAAGCCUGCAGCCUAACUGCAGAAUUGCCAUUGAUACUGUUAGUCUUGAGUACAGUUGAGGUAGGCGGAAUGUGGCAUGUAGCGGUGAAAUGCUUAGAUAUGACACAGAACACCAAUUGCGAAGGCAGCUUACUACAUAUAAAUUGACGCUGAGGCACGAAAGCGUGGGGAUCAAACA